rnacentral:rRNA from 1 species
GGCUCAGAUUGAACGCUGGCGGUAUGCUUAACACAUGCAAGUCGAACGGUAACAGGUCGCUGUGAUCUCUUCGGAGUGAACUUGACGCUGACGAGUGGCGGACGGGUGAGUAAUACUUAGGAAUCUACCCAGUAGUGGGGGACAACACGACGAAAGUCGUGCUAAUACCGCAUACGCCCUAAGGGGGAAAGUGGAGGAUCUUCGGACUUCACGCUAUUGGAUGAGCCUAAGUCGGAUUAGCUUGUUGGUGAGGUAAUGGCUCACCAAGGCGACGAUCCGUAGCUGGUCUGAGAGGACGAUCAGCCACACUGGGACUGAGACACGGCCCAGACUCCUACGGGAGGCAGCAGUGGGGAAUAUUGGACAAUGGGGGCAACCCUGAUCCAGCAAUACCGCGUGUGUGAAGAAGGCCUGCGGGUUGUAAAGCACUUUCAGUAGAGAAGAAAAGCUUAGGGUUAAUACCCCUGAGUCUUGACGUAACCUACAGAAGAAGCACCGGCUAACUCCGUGCCAGCAGCCGCGGUAAUACGGGGGGUGCAAGCGUUAAUCGGAAUUACUGGGCGUAAAGCGCGCGUAGGCGGUCUGGUCAGUCGGAUGUGAAAGCCCUGGGCUCAACCUGGGAAUGGCAUUCGAUACUGCCCGACUAGAAUAUGGAAGAGGGAAGUGGAAUUUCCGGUGUAGCGGUGAAAUGCGUAGAUAUCGGAAGGAACACCAGUGGCGAAGGCGGCUUCCUGGUCCAA